UGGGAACCUUCCCUAUGGUUCGGAAUAGCUCAGGGAAACUUGGGGUAAUACCGGAUAAGCCCUUACGGGGAAAGAUUUAUCGCCAUUGGAUGGGCCCGCGUCGGAUUAGCUAGUUGGUGAGGUAACGGCUCACCAAGGCGACGACGGGUAGCUGGUCUGAGAGGAUGGCCAGCCACAUUGGGACUGAGACACGGCCCAGACUCCUACGGGAGGCAG
rnacentral:rRNA from 1 species